GGUCUCAAAAAGACAGCAAGUAGGAAACUACUAAUCAUCAAGAAAAUAUCAAGAUUUAAAGGUGAAAAUUAUGGAUCAUGUGUGCAGAGGCUGACAUCUCUCUUUGGGUCAUCAGUUUUAUCCAUGGCCCUGCCAGAAGAAACAUCAGAAGAAAAAUUUCUCAUGUAAAAGUGGUAAUAAGAGAAGGCACUGAUUUGGUGGAUCCCACUUGCUGUUGGCAUUCUGCAGGCACCUUGGAUGAUGACUUCAGUUCACACCCUGGUCCACUGCUUCACCCUGAAGGCAGCGUGACCUCUAAAGCAAUCCCCUUGGACAUAUUUGUAUAUAUUUCACUGUAAGUGAAAGAGAACAAAACAAAUAAAAACACAAUGAG